rnacentral:lncRNA from 11 species
CUGUGAUUGUAUUAUGUUGCUUAUAUUUUGUCCAGAUAUGCUGGAUUUCAUAUCACAAAAUCACAAGUCGAACACUUCCCAAGUGUCUAGGACUGUGUGAUGUAUUUUCGGAUGAUGCGCGCAGAUCCCAGCAGGGUGGCCUUUUGCAGCUGGCAGAUCGUAAUUUUGUCAAUGUCUAUUGUUUCCAAAUGCCGGCUGAGAUCUUUUGGCACGGCACCCAGUGUGCCCAUCACCACCGGGACCACCUGCACUGGUUUCUGCCAGAGUCUUUGAAGUUCAAUCUUGAGAACUUUGUCAGUCUGGAUUCGGAAGUCCCACAGUAUCUUUGCGUGCUCAUUUUCCAAUACUUUUGCAGGUUUGUGAUCCCACCAGUUCUUUGCUGCUGGCAGGUGGUACUUGAGGCAUAAGUUCCAAUGAAUCAUUUGGGCCACAUAGUUGUGCCUCUGUUUGUAGUCUGUCUGUGC